AUGUAAGCACGAAACUUGCCCCGAGAUGAGUUCUCCCUGAGACUUAAAGUCUCCUGAAGGAACGUUGAAGACGACGACGUUGAUAGGUCGGGUGUGUAAGCGCAGCGAUGCGUUGAGCUAACCGAUACUAAUGAACCGUGAGGCUUAACCUUACAACGCCGAAG
rnacentral:rRNA from 1 species